GACGAACGCUGGCGGCGUGCUUAACACAUGCAAGUCGAGCGAUGAAGUUUCUUCGGAAAUGGAUUAGCGGCGAACGGGUGAGGAACACGUGAAGAAUCUGCCCUCCACUUUGGGAUAACACCGGGAAACCGGUGCUAAUACCGAAUAUUGAAACAUAAGUGGCAUCACUGAGUUUUGAAAGAAUUUCGGUGGAGGAUGACUUCGCGGCCUAUCAGCUAGUUGGUGGGGUAAUGGCUCACCAAGGCAACGACGGGUAGCCGGCCUGAGAGGGCGACCGGCCACACUGGGACUGAGACACGGCCCAGACUCCUACGGGAGGCAGCAGUGGGGAAUAUUGGGCAAUGGAGGAAACUCUGACCCAGCGACGCCGCGUGCGGGAUGAAGGCCUUCGGGUUGUAAACCGCUUUCAGUAGGGAAGAGGCGAAAGUGACGGUACCUACAAAAGAAGCACCGGCUAACUAUGUGCCAGCAGCCGCCGUAA
rnacentral:rRNA from 1 species